rnacentral:lncRNA from 1 species
ACACAUUUCUUGUCUAUGAAAAUCACGAACAAGUUGGAUACACUUCCAAACUUGUACGUGAAGGAGAUCAUUCGCUUUCAUGGAACAUCCAUGUCUAUCGUAUCAGAUCGUGACCUGAGGUUCGUCUCACAGUUUUGGAAGAGCUUACAAGCGGCUAUAGAACCCAAUUGAAUUUUAGUACGACUUUCACCACAAACUAAUGGACAAUCGGAGAGGGUGAUUCAGAUACUAGAAAAUUUACUAUGGCUAUGCAUGUUAAACUUCAAAGGAGAUUGGGAAGAGCAUCUAUCGUUAUUGAAAUUUGCUUACAAUAAUAGUUAUCAAGCGAGUAUCAAGAUUGCCUCAUUUGAAACUUUGUAUGGAAGGAAAUGUUGAUUCUCGAUUUGUUGGAUUGAAGUUGGAGAUAGAAGACUCCUAGGUCCUUAAAUUGUACAAGAAACCACAGAGAAGAUUGCCUUUGAUACUAUAACGAAUUCAUACCGCCCAUAGUAGUCAAAAAAGCUACGCCGACAAGCAUAAAAAAUUUUUGAAAUUCUCACAAGAAGAUCACGUAUUUUUGAAGGUAUCCCCAUCAAGGGAUAUCAGUCAUUUUGGGAUGAAAGAAAAACUGAAUUCAUGUUACAUUGGAUUGUUUGAAAUUCUGAAGAGGAUUGACUCAGUUGAUUAUUACCUUGCCUUGCUAUCGGAAUUGGCAAACAUUCACAAUGUUUUCCAUGUUUCGAUGUUAGAGAAAUAUAUCUUAGACUCAAGCCAUUGAACACUAGCCAUUAGAGAUAAAAGAAGAUUUGUCGUAUGUUGAACAAGCCAUUCAAAUUCUAGACCGACGAGAUCAAGUCCUUCGAAACAAGGUCAUUCUGCUUGUGCGAGUUCUAUGGAGGAAUCACACAACAGAAUAGUCGACAUGGAAAAAGAGAAGCCAAAAUGCGAGCGUGCUAUCCUUUUCUUUUCAAAAUGUAAAGUAGAUGCUAAAGUUUGAUGAUAAGCUUUUUGUAAGGAGUGAAGAAUGUAAAAUUUUAAAACUUUAAAAUAUUUAAAAUUCUCUAAGUAAUAAAUAAAUUACUCAAUAAAUACCAAAUAUGUACAAUACAUGUUAUUUAUAUAAAAUUAAUGUAUGUUAUGUUCUAAGCAUUAAGUAGGAGUUGCCAAAAAAUUUUCAAAAGCAUAAAUCUAUACUCGAAAACAUUUUAUGUUAAAGUAUAACAGAAAAAUUGACACGUAUUAAGCAUGCUUGACAGAUCAUCACUAUGGACCACAUGGUAGUGUGACUCACCCAAGAGUCAUUAUGUGAGUUACCCUCCCAUGCCCCAAAAGUCAAAACCCUUUCAACCAUUUUUUUUCCCAUUUUUGUCCCCGCAAAAAUGCUAGGACUAGACUUGACAAACUCUGAGAGAGAGAAAGAGAGGAAAAAAAAGAGAAAGGAGAGAAAGAAAGAUAGGGAGAAGAGAGAGAAAGAGAGAGAGGACUACUGAGAGAGAGAGAGAAAGAGAAGAGAGGAAGAAGAAGAAAAGGAGAAAGGAAAAAAUCUUAGUGAACAUUAACAAUUUUCACACGGUAACCUCACUCUUUUCUCCUAUUUCUUUUGUAUUUACUUAGCUUAGAGAAGAGUUUAAAGGCUCUAAGAUUGAGUAAUAUAUUCUAUCUUAGUUAAAGUUUUGAAAUAGUAUGAAAAUACAGCAUGAGAAUGCCAUUUUAGGGCCACAUGUUAACUAGAGGUUACGCCCUAUUUUUGUUUCAAAAUCACUGUUACGCCCUAUUUGCUUUAAAUAGUAUUUUUUCAAUUCCAAAGUUAGAUAGUCCAAAACAAGCUUGGAAGUCAAGACAAAAAAACUGAGUCUUUUGUUUUUUUUUCCAACUGGAUCGGUCAGACUUUUUUUGGACCGGAUCAAGAAUUGUCUAAUUAGGUACUAACCUUGUCUGGAUCGGUCGGGAUUUUUCUGGAUUGGUAGAGAAAAUAUAAGUUAGGUACUGACCUUGGCUGGACCGGUUGAACUUUUUCUAGACGAUGAGGAUUAACAGACCCUAACUUUUGAACAUCCAAACAUACACAGUUAGCCUAGUUCUCGUUCGAUAUAACUUAAGUAUCUUGUAAAUACUUAAUUAAAUAUCAUAAUUCUAAUCAUUUCUAUAAAUGAUACGUAAAGGAAAUCAAUUCGACUAGCCUAAAAAACACGACGAACGAGAGUAACACAAUACCCACACAAGCAAUGUAAAAAACCUUAAUCUCUAAAGUAGAAUAAAUAAUUCUUUUAUGCUAUGCAAAUCAAAUCCGGAUUAUAUAAGAAUCUUUCAAAAAGAUUUAUAUGUAUAUGCCUAUGUACCAUUAUGUUUUUGUAUUUCAGGACGGUACUCGACUAGCAUAUCCUGACUCAAUGGGUUGAAAGUAUGUUAUCAAACUCGACUAAGAACGAAAAGUCAUAAUGAAUAAUGUAUAUUUUAAGAAUUAUGGUGACUCAGAUAUAGUCAAACCACAUGUACAACCAUGAGUUUUGAACAAGUAUUUAAAAAGAUAAAAUAUUUUAUCUUUCGCUAUGCUAUGUAUGUUAUACACAUCUAUCAUGGUAUUUUCUUACUUUUAAUAAGUAUAUCAAACUUAUAUUAGAGAUUAUGAUUAUACACUAAGUAAAUGUGUUAAGAAAUAUUAUUUCUGAUAAUAUUUCAGGAGACAAAGGCAAGCAGACGGAAUAGAACGAUAGAAUCAUAUGUUUCGAAUUGCAUUUUGAACAAUGUAAACCUUAAGUGAUACUUGUCAGGUUAGAUUAUAAUAUCCGAGAUCUUUUGAACUUAUAUGUAGGUAAGUUUAUAUAUGUAAUGAUAAGACAUGUACAAAAUUUCUAUUAUUAUGGGCACGUAUUUUGAAUGAAUGAAUUUAAUACUGAUUUUGUAUUGACUCCAAAAAUAAAUAUACACGUUUGGCUUCCGCACACAAGAAAAGAAAAAUGAUCACGAAAAUGGCAUGACGCCUACCGUCGUCGUGUGGAGCCGCGUGGGCAUCAGGGGUCGCAACAACAUAAACGGGAAUAAAAUUACUAAAAAUGAUAUUGUUAUUGGUGGGCUUUAUUCCUAACAUCCAAACUCAACGAGGAAGGGAGUGGUUUGAUUUUAUAUAUCUCAUUUUCAUAAUCAAUAUUAAUAUAUAUUACCAUCCCCGCUUUAAUUUCAAUUAGGAUUUACUUUUGGUCUACCAUCUCCAACCCCAAACGGAGAUGUGAUUUUUUAGAAAUUUCCUAAAUAACUUUCCUUUCCUUUUUCCCAUAAUUCCAAAUAGGUUGAAAAAACAUGAAUUUACAAAGUAAAUAAAUACAUAUAUAUAUUAAAUUAUUUAAAAACUUAAAAGCAACGUAAAAUAUUUAUUUUAAUAAAAUAAUUGAAUUUUAACUUCAAGAUUUGAGGUUUUGAGGUUCAAACUUUAGUAUUCUUACUUUUAUUUUAUUUAUAUAUAAUACGGGGUUAGGACGAGAACGAAAAUUUAUGGCUGAAUUAAAAAAUAAUAAUAUAUAAAAAAGAAUAGAAUAGAAUAUUGCUAGAAAAAAGUCAAAAAUGGUUCCUAAGAUUAGGGAUUCUCAAAGCAACUCUAAUAGACUUGGUUGUUAGCCUAAAAGGCAUCCAAGAGGGGGUUGAAUUAAAUUUUUAAAAAUAAUUAUAAUUAAGAUUAAUUAAAGAUUAAUCUAAUUAAUGAAAUAGUAAAUCAAGAUGCAUGCAAUGCAAUAUAAGCAAUAAUAAAAUGAAUGUAAGGCACAAAAAAACACACCAAGAAUUACCAAGGUUCAACCACAACUCUUGUUGUGCAUUCAUUUUGUCAUGUAUUAGACUUUAAGGCUCCGUUUGGUAAUACUUAAAAAUUAAAUUUUUUUUUAUAAACUUACUAACCAAAAAGCCAAAUUUUUUGCCUUUAUUUUGUUUUUUUCUCCUCGAUUUAUUUUUAGUUAAAACCUACAGCACCAAACAAACAAACACUAGAAAACGCAAAAAGCCAACUCUUAUUGCUUUUUUGCUUAUUUUUAAGCAAAAAAAAUCAAAAAAAAUGAAAAAAGAUGGUGCCAACGGAGCCUAAGUCAAGCUUUAAGUGUAAAUUUUAAUUUUCAUUAAAUUGCACACUAAUUAAAUGCAUUAGUAAAUUAACACAAGAUUUAGUUAUCAUCAAAAUCAAGGCUUGUAGUCAACAUUGUUAUUCUUACUCUUUAGACAAUUUGGCAAGUCACAAAUCAAAAUGUCCACACCCAUUGGUUCAUGCCCCAAAAUGCAUUGAAAUCACUUCCUUUUUAAAGUCUUAAUAAAAUAAUUCUCAUUCCAAAAUAGUAUAGAAAUUUGCUCUUUAAAUAAAUUCAAAAUCAAAUCUCUCUAAUUUAUCUCUUUAAUUGGUUCAAUUAGCAUUGUACAAAGUCAUUUUUGUCCAUUUUUGGUGAGAACUAAUUGGUUUUGUUAGCUCUAAGUAGACGGAGAUUAACGAAUAAUUUAAAUUGUUACCGAAUUAAAAUUAUAAGAUUCAAUUUGUUACACUUAAAAUUAUAGGGUUUAAUUUAUUUGCAUGGUCAAACUUUGAUUUUUUUUUUUAAUUCUCCCUAAUUAUAAUUUCCCUUCUCAUACCAUUAUACAUUUAGUUAUUUCUUCUCUUUGGAGGAGUAGUUUAGAUUUUUAUUCAACAAAUUUAUAAUAAGGACAAAAAGUGGAGUGUAUUUAGUAAAAGUAAAGUAAGAUGUAGAUUUUUAUAUUUUUCAUAUUUUUCUCAUUAAGAAGAACAAAUAAAAUAUAUUUUUUUAUGAAAUGAUGAAAAAAAUUUAUUAAAAACAAAAAAAUAAAAAGAUAAAGCAGAUAAAAAAAAAAUUACCCCAGAUGAGUCCUUAUUGUUCCUAGAUAAAAUAGGAAGUGUGCUUGAGUAGUUAAAAAAAAUGACACCCUAAAUUAAAAAAUAGAUAAAAUAAGGAGCCAAAUUCUAGAAGGCUCCUAGAGAUUUGUUUAUAAUUUGUUUUUGUUAAGAUUAGAAGAAAAGGUAAGAAAUAUCU